UCCCUGGUGGUCCAGUGGGUAAGACUCCGCGCUCCUAACGCAGGGGACCCAGGUUCGACUCCUGGUCAGAGAA
rnacentral:tRNA from 1 species